rnacentral:rRNA from 1 species
UGUCUUGUAAUUGGAAUGAUGGGAAUUUAAACCUCUUCCAGAGUAUCAAUUGGAGGGCAAGUCUGGUGCCAGCAGCCGCGGUAAUUCCAGCUCCAAUAGCGUAUAUUAAAAUUGUUGCAGUUAAAAAGCUCGUAGUUGAAUUUCUGCUGCAUUGCUUUUGCUCCUUUACGAGUCUUUGCAUUGUGGCUUAUUUCGGACUUUGUUUUACAAUGUCCGGAUGUUUACUUUGAGAAAAUUAGAGUGCUCAAAGCAGGCUUUCGCCUUGAAUAGUUUAGCAUGGAAUAAUAAAGUAGGACUUUGGUUCUAUUUUGUUGGUUUUAGGUACCAAAGUAAUGGUUAAUAGGAACAGUUGGGGGCAUUCGUAUUUAACUGUCAGAGGUGAAAUUCUUAGAUUUGUUAAAGACGAACUACUGCGAAAGCAUUUGCCAAGGAUGUUUUCAUUAAUCAAGAACGAAAGUUAGGGGAUCGAAGACGAUCAGAUACCGUCGUAGUCCUAACCAUAA